GGUUGGAAAUUUAUAUGUAAAUUCGUUUGAAUUGUUUUUGUAUAUUUUUUCCGAUUUUUUUUUGCAUUUGCUUUAGAAUUUGAAUAUAAAAAUAAUGAGAAAAUUGCUUGAAAGCUGCAAUACUAAAUCAUGAAAGAAAGUGGUGUAGGCAUCUUGGAAUACAAUUUUUCCUUUUUUUUUUUGUUUGGUAAAAACGCAUUUGACACUUAAACUUAGGCAUACCAAUUCUGUGGUGCUUUGUGGACGCUUCGGCAGUGUUUUGCAUUCCGGCGCGUGUAUUUCCAAAUCGCUGCGCGCACCUCAGAUCGGAUGAAAAGCGUUUCUUGCCAGAGAAAACUAUCGAACCAUUGCGAUUUUUGAUGGAACCACCUUGCGACAUCAUAUUCGAUAUAUCCUCCUCAGCGGAGAAGAACAUCUCGGAGGGAUUCUCCGAGGUCAGCGAUAUCGUGCGCUGCACUUCGCGCGUCAAAUGAUCAGCGCCGUUGGCGUGCGGUGUUUCGCUGUACUGCUGUGACUGCAUUGGCAAAUCGGCGAUUUCAUACUCAAGCGGAUGCGAAUGUGGUGCUGAGUGUGACAUUUCAUCGGGUAUCUGGAAAGCACAAGCAAAUAUUACAUAUGUCUUCAGAUGUAAACUAUUCAAAGCAGUCGUUCACCUCCAACUCAUCCUCCACAUCUGCUUCGCCGGUUAGACGCGAAUCGGAUAUGCUAGUUUUCGGUGGUGAAACUCGUAAUGUGUUGUUCUGCGAUUGCGAUUUCGCUGUGUCUGAGCCACGUCGGUAUGCCACCUGCAGCUGUGAUUCAUUCGAGUCCUGACGCAGCACUUUCUUCGACGGACUAUCCAAAAGACGCGCAUAUGGCACCUCGACAGAAGUUUGUCUGCUAAUUGAGGUAUAUUAGCGACCAACAAUUAUACACCACACUUGCUUACUCACCUAUUUGUGGUGUACGAGUAACGCUUAUUGCGACGCUCCAGCGUAUUUGGCGAACCAAUGCUCUCGCGAGAUUUGCGCCCACUAAUGUCUGAUAUUUCAAUGGCAUUGCCUAUCUUCAGCUUGCCACCCACUUCCUUGCUGC